AGGGAAACAACCCAGACCAGCAGCUAAGGUGCCUAAAUAACGCUCAGUGGAAAGGAUGUGGGAUUACACAGACAGUGAGGAUGUUGGCUUAGAAGCAGCCACCAUUUAAAAAAUGCGUAAUAGCUUACUCAUCGAGUGAUCCUGCGCCGAAAAUGAUUGGCGAUCAAGCGUUAUACCGAAGCUCUGGACUUUGCCGCAAGGCAGAGUGGUAGAAGAGCGUUGCAUGCGCGUCGAAGGGCGAUGGCGACUGACCCUGGAGCACAUGCAAGUGAGUAUGCAGACAUGAGUAACGUUAAGCCGGGUGAAAUCCCCGGCCGCCGUAAACCCGAGGUUUCCAGGGCAACGUGUUUCGUCCCUGGGUUAGCCGGGACCUAAGCCGAGGCCGAGAGGCGUAGGCGAUGGACAUCAGGUUAAUAAUCCUGAGCUCGCAACCCUUAAACUGGGGGGACGCAUGAGAAAAGAUGACUAGGUUAUUGAAUUCCGAGUUGAGUCCACGGACUCAGCGCAUCAUUGGAUCGAGUGCCAAGAAAAGCCCCAGCGUAUGCUAAGCGACCCGUACCGCAAACCGACACAGGUGGGUGGGUAGAAUAUACCAAGGCGUAAGAGUGAAACCUGGUUAAGGAACUCGGCAAAUUAGCCCCGUAACUUCGGAAGAAGGGGUGCCUGCAGCGAUGCAGGCCGCAGAGAAAUGGCCCAACCGACUGUUUAUCAAAAACACAGCACUCUGCAAAGACGCAAGUCGAAGUAUAGGGUGUGACACGUGACCAAUGCCGAAAGAUUAAGGCAAGGGGUUAGCCGCAAGGCGAAGCUCUAAACCCAAGUCCCGGUGAAUGUCGGCCGUAACUAUAACGGUCCUAAGGUAGCGAAAUUCCUUGUCGGGUAAGUUCCGACCUGCACGAAUCGUGAAACGAGUUGGGCACUGUCUCAACCAGGCGCUCAGUGAAAUUGUAGUGGCGGUGAAGAUGCCGCCUACCCGCAGAAGGACGGAAAGACCCUAUAGACCUUAACUGUAAGCUGUCAUUGUUUCUUCGGUUUUAAUGCUCAGAGUAAGUGGGAGACGCUGAAGACGCCCUUUAGGGGGCGUCCGAGUCAUCAAUGAGACACCACCCUUUGAAACUGGAGGAUCUAACCCUGAGCCGUGAAUCCGGCCAGAGGACCGUGUCAGCCGGUCAGUUUUACUGGGGCGGUAUCCUCCCAAAGAGUAACGGAGGAGCGCGAAGGUGGGCUCAGCCCGGUUGGCAACCGGGUGUCGAGUGCAUGGGCAUAAGCCCGCCUAACUGUGAGACCAACAAGUCGAGCAGAUGCGAAAGCAGGCCCAAGUGAUCCGGCGGUAGAAAGUGGAAUUGCCGUCGCUCAACGGAUAAAAGGUACCUUAGGGAUAACAGGCUGAUCACGCCCAAGAGUUCAUAUCGACGGCGUGGUUUGGCACCUCGAUGUCGGCUCGUCGCAUCCUGGGGCUGGAGAAGGUCCCAAGGGUCCGGCUGUUCGCCGGUUAAAGCGGCACGCGAGCUGGGUUCAGAACGUCGCGAGACAGUUCGGUCCUCUAUCCUCUGUGGGCGUUGGAAAAUUGAGGGGUUCAGACCUUAGUACGAGAGGACCGGGUCUGACGCACCACUGGUGCAUCGGUUGUACUGUCAAGUGCAUGGCCGAGUAGCUAAGUGCGGACGGGAUAAGCGCUGAAAGCAUCUAAGCGCCAAGCCCUUCCCAAGAUGAGUUUUCCCUACAGGUUCGUGGAAGACCACCACGUUGAUAGGUCGCAGGUGUAAGUGCAGCAAUGUAUUGAGCCGAGCGAUACUAAUUACCAAUUGACUUCAUC
rnacentral:rRNA from 1 species